GUCGCGGUAGCCGAGUGGUGACGGCACUUGCCUCCCAUGUAGAAGGUCCCGGGUUCAAUCCCCGUCCGCGGCA